AUCUGAAUAGUUUAAGGGGAAAAUAUUGGUUUGUGGUGCCAAUGAUAUAGAUUUCUAUUUUGGAUU
rnacentral:tRNA from 1 species